CCCUUAGAUGUUCUGAACCGCACGCGUGUUACACUGAUGCAUUCAACGAGCUUUACCUUGGCCGAGAGGCCUGGGAAAUCUUUUUAGCAUGCAUCGUGAUAGGGAUUGAUUAUUGCAAUUAUUAAUCAUGAAUGAGGAAUUCCUAGUAAACGCAUUUCAUCAAAAUGCAUUGAUUACGUCCCUGCCCUUUGUACACACCGCCCGUCGCACCUACCGAUUGAGUGGUCCGGUGAAGUCUCGAGAUUGUGGCAAUCUCCUUUAUUGGAGUUUGACUGCGAGAACUUGCCUAAACCUUAUCACUUAGAGGAAGGUGAAGUCGUAACA
rnacentral:rRNA from 1 species